UGCCUAACGUUGUAACAGCCAUAUCUAUGA
rnacentral:piRNA from 1 species